rnacentral:rRNA from 1 species
GCAGCCGCGGUAAGACAGAGGUGGCAAGCGUUGUUCGGAUUUACUGGGCUUAAAGGGCGUGUAGGCGUCCCGAUAAGUCAGAUGUGGAAGCCUUGGGCUCAACCCAAGAAUUGCAUUUGAAACUGUCGGGAUUGAGUCGUGCAUGGGAGGGCGGAAUUCCUGGUGUAGCGGUGAAAUGCGUAGAUAUCAGGAGGAAGGCCUGUGGUGAAGAUGGCCCUCUGGGCAAUGACUGACGCUGAGGCGCGAAAGCGUGGGGAGCAAACAGGAUUAGAUACCCUGGUAGUCCACGCCCUAAACGGUGCGUACUAGGUGUGGGUGGCGAUAGUCAUCCGUGCCGUAGGGAAACCAUUAAGUACGCCGCCUGGGGAGUACGGCCGCAAGGUUGAAACUCAAAGAAAUUGACGGGGGCCCGCACAAGAAGUGGAGCAUGUGGUUUAAUUCGACGCUACCCGAAAAACCUUACCUGGGCUUGACAUAUAAGAUAGUAGUGAACUGAAAAGGGAACCGAAUUCUAGCAAUAGGAAAGCUUACACAGGUGCCUGCAUGGCUUGUCG